rnacentral:tRNA from 1 species
AAUUAAUGAACUUGAAUAAGUAUAUGUUUUGAAAACAUAAGAAAGAAUAAAAUAUUCUAUUAAUUU